GUGAAAAUUUAUGAUUUCAAGAUAUUCUUAGAAGAUAUCUGGUCUACUUUUUUGAGAGUCAACUUUUGUUGGGAAGAAAGGAAGUGGAAAUAUGGUUGCUGCCUAAGAAGUAAUAAUAGGAGAUACAAGAAACAGCUUGAAAUGGAAUAGGAAAAGUCUCUGUGUUAGAGCAAUUUGAAUGAAAAGAAGAAUAAACAGGUGUCCAACGAUAAGAUUUCCAAGAUAGGAAGAAAGAGAGGGUUCAGAAAGA